CCUACGGGAGGCAGCAGUGAGGAAUAUUGGUCAAUGGCCGGAAGGCUGAACCAGCCAAGCCGCGUGAAGGACGAAGGUGCCAAGCAUUGUAAACUUCUUUUGUCAAGGGACAAAAUCAGGCUCGAGAGCCUGACCGAGGGUACUUGAAGAACAAGCAUCGGCUAACUCCGUGCCAGCAGCCGCGGUAAUACGGAGGAUGCGAGCGUUAUCCGGAUUUAUUGGGUUUAAAGGGUGCGUAGGCGGGCUGUUAAGUCAGCGGUAAAAGCCCGGGGCUCAACCCCGGCGAGCCGUUGAAACUGGCUGUCGUGAGAUGUCGAGAGGUAUGCGGAAUGCGCAGUGUAGCGGUGAAAUGCAUAGAUAUCACGCAGAACUCCGAUUGCGAAGGCAGCAUACCGGCGCCCGACUGACGCUGAGGCACGAAAGCGUGGGGAUCGAACAGGAUUAGAUACCCGGGUAGUC
rnacentral:rRNA from 1 species